UAAAACCUUAAUACCAACACAAUGCGACAGUGCGUACUAAUACUACUGGUAUGAAUAAUCUAGACCACAUAUCCUACUACAUUAAUUAUCGACCUCCAUACCUUCGUAUCAGGGGUCAUGACCUCGGUCAGUUGAAGUUCCGUCAUGUCUCCUGAUACUGCAUGUUUUAUUAUCUAAUAAAACAAAAUGAAAAAAGAAAUUUAGAAUGACAUUCAGCGGUCUAAUUCUUCAGCUGAAGAUUGUGGCGUUGUUCGGCGAAUAGAAGCAUAAUCAUUUUCAACCUUGCAGUUUUAAAUUCUGGAACCACAGCCAAAUGUAUGUCUGUUGGGUUCUUGCGAAGUGUAGCAGGACAUACUAACUUCCAAACAGAUCUACUAAACCCCAUCUCUCUCGUCUCUCCCCCUUUCCCUCCCCAAAUCUUCUCCCUGUCAUCAAAAACCCAUUGCAGAAAAUGAUACACCUCCUAUCAAGAAAUUAAGGGUCAUCAACAAAUAACUGUCUUCUUUAGUGCAAAACAAACAUCUACUCUUAACUGCAUCCAACAUCCUCCAAUUUCAAAGAAGAAGCACAGUUAUAGUACAUGGAAUUGACUAUGAGUAUGUACCCACUACAGGUGGGCAGAUAACCGUACCUUGAAGAAAGCAAAUGAAGGUUCCAAGUAACAUACAAGCAAAGUGAAGCAGCAAGAACAUAACAGAAACGCAGCUACAAGAGUUGAUCUAAACUGAUGAUGCUAAUGUACACUUGGGAGCACGGACUACCAGAGAAGGUAAGAGAAACCUUGCAGUUUGAACUAAGACGACAAGGCCAGACCAACAAACUAGAAAACAAAACAAACAAUUAGGGAUAAAUUUGCUAAAAUGAAAAUAAGAACCAAAAGCUUGGCCCUAAAUACUAUUAGUAUUCUCU
rnacentral:lncRNA from 1 species